CCUACGGGACGCAGCAGUGGGGGAUAUUGCACAAUGGGGGGAACCCUGAUGCAGCGACGCCGCGUGGGUGAAGGAGUGCUUCGGCAUGUAAAGCCCUAUCGGCAGGGAAGAAGCAAGACGGUACCUGACUAAGAAGCCCCGGCUAACUACGUGCCAGCAACCGCGGUAAUACGUAGGGGGCAAGCGUUAUCCGGAUUUACUGGGUGUAAAGGGAGCGUAGACGGCCAGACAAGUCUGAAGUGUAAAUCCAGCGCUUAACGUUGGAAGUGCUUUGGAAACUGCCGGGCUGGAGUGCAGGAGGGGCA
rnacentral:rRNA from 1 species